CUAGUGGCGCAGUGGUUAGCGCAGAGGACUCAUAAUCCUUUGGUCGUAGGUUCGAACCCUACCUGGCC
rnacentral:tRNA from 1 species